UGGGGAAUAUUGGACAAUGGGCGAAAGCCUGAUCCAGCCAUGCCGCGUGUGUGAAGAAGGUCUUCGGAUUGUAAAGCACUUUAAGUUGGGAGGAAGGGCAGUAAGCGAAUACCUUGCUGUUUUGACGUUACCGACAGAAUAAGCACCGGCUAACUCUGUGCCAGCAGCCGCGGUAAUACAGAGGGUGCAAGCGUUAAUCGGAAUUACUGGGCGUAAAGCGCGCGUAGGUGGUUCGUUAAGUUGAAUGUGAAAGCCCCGGGCUCAACCUGGGAACAGCAUCCAAAACUGGCGAGCUAGAGUAGGGCAGAGGGUGGUGGAAUUUCCUGUGUAGCGGUGAAAUGCGUAGAUAUAGGAAGGAACACCAGUGGCGAAGGCGACCACCUGGGCUCAUACUGACACUGAGGUGCGAAAGCGUGGGGGGCAAACAGG
rnacentral:rRNA from 1 species